CCGCGCCCCUCUCUCUCGUCCGGCCUAGAGAGAAAGAAAAGUCUCCUUUGCAACCCUCUACCUCCCUUCUCUCUGACGCUUCGGGUCCACUCGGCACAGUGCCGUCUUCCUCCUCCAGCCAGCCUCACUCCCCGUGCCCGUGCGUUGCAACACAGUCUCCUCCACCAAAUCCGCCCGCGCCGUUGCUCCUCAUCCAAAAUUGAUCACGGAAACGGAAUCCUCUAGGCUUCCCCGAAGAAACCCCAAUUUUCGCGAAGUAAAUCGCGCGAAUUUCUGCCCCGUUCUUAUCCCGACGAACUAAUUUUCCUUGACCGAAUCCCUCAAAUACGACUCGAUCUCUACCUCCUCCGCCUAUAUAAAGAUGCCCCAGAUCUCCUCUUUGGUACCCUCCUUUCCCCCGAGCCGCCGUGCCCUAGCCACCUCUCCCCGCGAGAUUGCACUCUCUCCGCCGCCAACUCCGGCCACGUUGCGUCGCGCCGCCCCUCUGGUCGACGCCGCCUUGCGCUGUCGCCUCCUUCGGCUGCACAAGGACAAGUGCUACCUCGGCCGCCGGCUCCCUUGCGCCGAAGACCGCCGGAAGCCGCUUACCCAAACGAACCCGAGCGCCGCUGCCUCCCGUCGACCUCCAGCCGUCACCCACCGUUGUUCCCGCCAUUCCGAACCUUUGCCGUCGCCAUCCCCGUCAUCGCAGCGCCGAGGAGAAGCCCGUCUACCCCUUCGAUGCCGCGGCCCGUCGCCGGAAAGCCGCCGCCUGCGCCGACCCGAGCUCGCCGCCCUUUGGAGCUCGCCGCCGGUGUCUCCCUUCGCCAUGUGUCAUCGUGUAAGUAGUGGUAAGGAUCGCCUCGGUCCCUUCUUCCUCCCCGUGCCCUCUGUUUCCGCCGGAGCACCACCGUUCGCCGGCGACCCUCGGUUCCUAAGCCGGCCCGCGUCGAUCCCGCAUGGCUUCCACGUCGUUGCCAAAUUACCACCACCUCAGCGCCACGUCAUCAUUCUGUCCACGUGGGAGCCGAUCUAAACCUUGGAUCAGCUUCAAUCUAAUCGGUUGGAUCUCAAUCAACUGGCGGUCAAGAUCGAUCUGAGCCAUCCAUCCCGUGGACCCGUGGACCAUUUUGUGGACUUGGUUCAUGGUAGCGGCUCCAUGACUAGUAGGUCCCACCUGUCAUCAACCUUAUCUCUCUUCUCUCCUAGUGCUGACGUCAUAUUCCUCUACUUUUGCGUACAAACAUAAUUAAAUAUGAUGCAGUAAAUCAUUUAGUUCGUUUUUAUAGGGUUUUAUUAUUAAAACUUUAGUAAUUCAUAAUUAAUUCAUAUGAACUCGGAAUGAGCUCGUUCAAGUUUCAAUUCAUAUGAACUCGGAAUGAGCUUGUUCAAGUUUCAUAAUUCAUAUAUCUCUACUCAUUUAUGAACUUCAGUUGUACUGUUUAUUUGGUUUCUAUUAGUGUUUUCUCUCGUUCUGUUUAUGAAGGAUCGUUCGUUCACUGGAGAAGUUCCUGAAGACGAAGAUGCUUAUUUGUAAGGCAAGUCACACAGAUCCAAAAUACCCUUUGAGAAUGCUGAACACAUGUUUAAAAUUCUCUAUUUCAAUCAAAUAUGUAUUUAUUUUCGAAUGUCAUUGGGUGGUGAGCCUUUUUUCUCAUAUUAUGGCCGAAGAUGAUUUUAUUAUCUUAUGGGUUAUAAUUUGACUAGGUUGGACCUUAUAUAUUGGUUCAGCUAUAUAUUAGAUGUAAUUGUUUAUCCAUGCUUAGAAACAUUAGCACACUAUUGGGAUAAUGAAUGCUUCACAAUUACUUAAUGAUGGCUAUUUAAUGGUAGCUCGUGAUGGUAAAUCAUGAUUGGUUAAUUAAAUAAUCGCCAGCUAAAACCUGAUAAUGGUGAGUUGUGAGCAUAGUGUUUUGGUGGCCAUGCUGAUGACAAUUAACGACCAGUUCGCAAACUACUGUUGUGAUAAUGAUAAUGGUUCUGAAGCAUAUUAUUCCUCCCUCUCCCUCUUUCGAUCUUCUAAUUGGAAGAACAAAAGAGUGGGUUGGAAUUCGGUUCUUUCGAGCCUUGCUUGGGCUCGUUCUAUCUUUGAAUAUAGCAAUUUCCAUUCCACCUCAAUCCACAUUCCUUUCAUGCUUUGAGCUUCCAGGAAAUCACGGUUGUGGGAAACCACAUCACGGAAGAAAACUUAUCAUUCCUCAUGAUCCCACAGAUCCUGAUAAGCUGCCUGGAGAAUAGAGAAAUCAUCCAGGAGAAUAGAGAAAUCAUCCAUUGCUCGGAUAGAGUCAAGAUAGGAACAAAGUGCCCCCUCCUAAAGGAAGAGCCUCAGUCGCCCAGGUAUGUCCUCGAGAGGGUUGUUGUCAUUCAACUACUGUUGAUCCUACUCGUAAAGGCUCAGACAUAAGCCAACGUGAGCAACGUCUGGAUGCGUUGUAUAGCAAUAUGGUUCAUUGUGGAGUGCCAGACUGAGAAGUGGCAGAGAGUCCACAGGGUUGCUGGGGAGUCUAUACCCUUUAAAAAGGGUGACUAUGAUCCGGGGAUAGUGCAUUGCUUUUAAUUGUGUCAUGCGAGGUGUCUUGUCACAAUCCUGUUUCGAGGUAUCGUGGUGCUACUGAUGGCAUGGCUACAUGUUAUGGGCUAUGUCUUGUGGGUAAAUUUAUACACCUCCGGUUAUGGGGCGAGCCUAACAAUGUUUUUUCGUGAUUAGUACCAGAAUAUUCAUUAAAAAUAAUAAUGUGAUAAAUGAUGAUGCUUUGGUUUAGCUCCUGGUUUGGAGAUUGGGUCUGUUCAACCGAGCAUGGUUGUUCAGAUAUGGUGGGGCAUAUGCAACAGGUAUGUUGUAUAUCAUUGGAUUAAUACCUUUUAAUUAAUUACUCUACUGUUUUACAAAUUCUCAACUCUUUGCCAAAUGCUUCUUUUGCAAAUGAACCCUAUAUUAUGCCAUCCUAUAUUAUCGCUGUGCACUUGCAUACUUGUUGUGUGCUUUGUGAAGUAUUUCAUAUACUCGCCUUGCAAUAAUCAUCAAACCUCACUUGGAGACAAAGGAUUCAGAAGGAGAAAACCUUUGUCUUAAAUCCUAUUUGAGUUGAAGCUUCGCUAGAUUUUAUUUUUCCGCUGCAAUUUUCUUCGUGGUGAGGACUAAGUUAUUCUUCUGUAAGUAUUUUAUCGCUUUACUUAUUAUGAUAUUCUGUAUAUUAAAUUGUCCUUUCAUGCACCUCGGCUAAUUCCUAGACGAGGAUAUUAAUGCAUAAAUUAGUUCGAAAA